rnacentral:rRNA from 1 species
GUUAUGCAAGUCGUACGGUCCAGUCUCGAGCUAAUUCUUCGGAUGAGGCUUGGGAAUAGGAUAGUGGCGAACGGGUGAGUAACACGUGGGUAAGCUACCCUCCGGUGGGGAAUAACUCCCUGAAAGGGGAGCUAAUACCGCAUGAUGUCUCGGGACCGCGAGGUCUUGAGAUGAAAGGUGGCCUCUGUUUUAAGCUACCGCCGAAGGAUGUGCCCGCGGCCAAUUAGCUUGUUGGUGAGGUAACGGCUCACCAAGGCGACGAUAGGUAGGCGGUUUGAGAGGAUGACCGCCCUCACUGGGACUGAGAUAAGGCCCAGUCCCCUACGGGAGGCGCAGCCAAGAAUCUUGCGCAAUGGGCGAAAGCCUGACGCAGCGACGCCGCGUGGGUGAUGAAGGCUUGCGAGUCGUAAAGCCCUGUUGAGUGGGAGGAAAUGCACGGUAGCUAAUAUCUGCCGUGUUUGACAGUACCACUCCAGAAAGCCCCGGCUAAUUCCGUGCCAGCAGCCGCGGUAAUACGGAGGGGGCUAGCGUUGUUCGGAUUUACUGGGCUUAAAGGGCACGUAGGCGGUCUCGUAAGUCGGGUGUGAAAUCCCUCGGCUCAACCGAGGAACUGCGCCCGAUACUGCGAGGCUAGAGUUCGGGAGAGGAGAGUGGAAUGGUCGGUGUAGGGGUGAAAUCCGUAGAUAUCGACUAGAACACCAGUGGCGAAGGCGACUCUCUGGCCCAGAACUGACGCUGAGGUGCGAAAGCCAGGGUAGCGAACGGGAUUAGAGACCCCGGUAGUCCUGGCCGUAAACGUUGGGCACUAGGUGUAGGGA